rnacentral:rRNA from 1 species
UCAGAACGAACGCUGGCGGCAGGCUUAACACAUGCAAGUCGAACGCCCCGCAAGGGGAGUGGCAGACGGGUGAGUAACGCGUGGGAAUCUACCCAAUUCUUCGGAACAACUGAGGGAAACUUCAGCUAAUACCGGAUGUGCCCUUCGGGGGAAAGAUUUAUCGGAAUUGGAUGAGCCCGCGUUGGAUUAGCUAGUUGGUGGGGUAAAGGCCUACCAAGGCGACGAUCCAUAGCUGGUCUGAGAGGAUGAUCAGCCACACUGGGACUGAGACACGGCCCAGACUCCUACGGGAGGCAGCWGUGGGGAAUAUUGGACKAAUGGGCGCAAGCCUGAUCCAGCCWUGCCGCGUGAGUGAUGAAGGUCUUAGGAUUGUAAAGCUCU